rnacentral:rRNA from 1 species
UAGCGCGGUGGUCCCACCUGACCCCAUGCCGAACUCAGAAGUGAAACGCCGCAGCGCCGAUGGUAGUGUGGGGUCUCCCCAUGCGAGAGUAGGGAACUGCCAGAC